AUUGAACGCUGGCGGCAGGCCUAACACAUGCAAGUCGAGCGAGCGGCGGACGGGUGAGUACUGUAUGGGGAACGCCCGAUAGCGGGGGAUAACUACUGGAAACGGUGGCUAAUACCGCAUACUAUCGGCUCACGCUUAUGGGAUUAGCUAGUAGGUAAGGUAAUGGCUUACCUAGGCGACGAUCCCUAGCUGGUCUGAGAGGAUGAUCAGCCACACUGGGACUGAGACACGGCCCAGACUCCUACGGAGGCAGCAGUGGGGAAUAUUGCACAAUGGGUGCAAGCCUGAUGCAGCCAUGCCGCGUGUAUGAAGAAGGCCCUAGGGUUGUAAAGUACUUUCAGUCGGGAGGCGUUACCGAAAGAAGAAGCACCGGCUAACUCCGUGCCAGCAGCCGCGGUAAUUC
rnacentral:rRNA from 1 species